AUUAAUUAUUUUGGCAGAUUAGUGCAAUGAAUUUAGAAUUCAUAUAUGUAAUUUUUUUUACAGAUA
rnacentral:tRNA from 1 species